AAUACCCUCACUUAUCCCUUUACUCUCUCACCCUUAUCCAUUCACUCUCUCCUUCUCACCCUCGGCGGUGGCAGUGGCGGGGGCUGUGGCGGCGAACCUCACCCUCGGCGGCGCGGCGCCCUCCAGGUACGGCGGCGAGGAGGCAGUGGGUGUGGUGCGGCGGUGUGUGGCGGCGGCAAUACAGUGGCGAGGAGGGCUCGACGGAGCGCGGCGGUGCGGCGGCUCGACGCGGCGAUGAGGAGGGCUGAACGGCGUGCGGCAGCGAGGAGGAGGUGAGCGGCGGCGGUGGCAUAUCCAUCCCAACGCGGCAGCAGUGAAGAGGGGCAGCGGUGUGCGGCGGCAAGGCGGAGGUGGAGGCAGCAACGAUGGCCCAAUGCCGAGGUACACCCCUCCUCCCCCCAUCCAUCCUCUUCUUCUUCUUCCCUCCUCCACUUAGGAAAAUUUGCUCAUGUGUGUGAUGGAUUUGUCCCUUACUGUCAUGGGUGACGGAUGUGUGAAUGUGUGUGAUGGAUUUGUGAAAUAUGUUUUGUUAAUGGAGUAGUAUAGAUUUAAGCUUCACAUAAAUAUAUUUGUAAAAUGCCAUUGUAUCAUUGAUAAUAAUGCUCUAUUGGUAAUCACAGUAAAGUAUCCACAUUGUGCUUGUCAUCAUAAUUCGUCACUAGCAUGCUAGGAUAUAUAGAAAAAUGGCAAGUCUAGCAUGGUAAACCAAGUGGCAUCUGUGGACGGCUAUUAAGUACAAAAUUCUCGCUGUCAAUACCUGCAUAAAACCAUAAAAGUAAAACAUCCAAUAUAGUGGUAGGAUUUAUUUCUAACCAUUUCCACGAGUGUUAGUGUAUAUUUGUAUGCAGGAUGCAACCCACCAAAGUUGAGAUGAAAUGUACAUGAAGGAUGAGAAUAUAACUUCCAUAUCCAAGCCAUAGAGUUUUGAGCCCACAAACCCAAUAAGAUACAUUUAUCUUGAGCCAAACUUCAGUAGAACAUAUAGUGGGACCCACAUGUCAGAACACCAGAGAAGGAGCUAGGCUGGAUGGGCCAGCCAGGGUUCGGCUGAACCAGCAGCUAGCCCAACCAGCACAAUAUUUUACCAACUGAUAGUUAUCCUCAUCCUAUGACGGUUAGGAGCGUUAAUACUGGUGGAAACCGUCAUCAAGAGGACACAUGGCAAAAGGAGAAGUUAAGAAGAUGCUCUUAGGAUUCUAUGUUGAAUAUUUCACAGUAUCUCCACUCUCUCAACUCACCUCCACACUAUAAAUACCCCUGUCCUCUCCCUCAUUCACACACACUUGAAGCAUGAGCUGAAUUACAAGAGGCUCUAGUGUACUUUAUUGUAUAUUAGAAUAGAGAGAGAGUAAUGUAGAAGAAGUUGUCGAUGCAAAUUAAUUCUCUUCUUACCUUUUUUAUCUUGUUAAUUACUCUGCAUUAAUUGAAUAUCAUUAUAAGUAAUUAAAAUUUACUCUGUGAGAAUUAUCUCUUGGUUAGUUCCUAAUUAGCGUGCGGGAUCAUCGUUCACUAUAGUCUAUUAUAAUAUAGAUUACUUUAGUGAGUUAUAAACACUACAGUAGCUAUUAAUUGCUUAGAUGCGGUGUCUAAGUAGUUGAUUUAUGGUGUUUGCUCCGUAUCCCACAGUAGGUGUAAGGUGGGUGUAGAGGUGGGUGUAAGUCCUCCCUGUCCGGGUACGUAAUAGAGCGAUAUCUGGGAGCAGCAAGCUGGCCAGUGCCCGAAGUAUCGCGUUAGGAUUAAGUUAAGCUUUCCGUAGACAUUGUUUCUCACCGGUGAAUCCUCUCUAUCCUUUGCCUAUCAUUAGCUUCGUGUCCUUGGACAAACCUGGUAAAGAGCUGACACACACGUUCCCUGUGGAAAUCAAUACCUGAGAAUACUCCUGGCUGAAGUGCUACAUCAGUAUUUUCCGUGCGCUUGCGGAUUUUAUUUGUAAAGUUAAGAAAUACCAACAGCAUCCAAGAUAAAUGGUAAAUGCAACUGUUAGCACUAUCCUGAUCCUAAUUUCUUAUAUACUUUAAUCGAAAAUAAAAUUUCUGAACACCCAUAACUUGCUGCACUGGACCUAGGCUUCAAGAUCACCUCUACAGGGUAUUUAUGUUGCUCAUUAAGUAACUAAUUAUAUAUUUUUAGUGUCUAAUAACACCGAACCAGCUGUUUGGAUUACCCAGUUGUAUAAACCAUGAUUACCCAUACAUGUGAACAUUUUACAACUAUAGAAUAUGGAAGUUGUAUGAGGAUGUAAUUAUGUGUGUGAAUGUAUGAUGGAUUUGUGCAUGUGUGUGAUGGAUUUGUCCCUUACUGUCAUGGGUGAUGGAUUUAGACAUGCCACAAUGUGUUGGAAAAUCUGCAGUAUGGCACUAAGACACAUUGGCACAUAUAUGGCACACUAAGACCAAAUAUGUGCUUGUUGCACUUGUUACUCCAUUUCCAAUGUCUAAGGACAUUUCAGUCAUGUUACUGUAUAUUUUGUGCUGCUACUGCUGCUGCUGCUAAAAUAUAUUUUGUGUUGCUGCUGCUGCUGAUAUAUUUGGUACUUUCCUAUAUCAGUUUAUUUCCACAAUCCAUCAUUGGGUUGAAAUGUACUUUUCUACUUUCCUGCUGCUGUUGAUAUAUUUAUGCAUUGCCCAUGUGAAUAUAACUUGUUGCUCGAUGAUGAAAUUCAUAUGGUGGGAGAUUAUGUGUGGAAGUAUUUCAUUUAUUUGUGUGAUUUGUGAAUUGUGCUGGGUUAGGGUAUAAAACCGGCACCUAUCUCCUACUACUUAAUUACUCGGCCUGCCACCUACCCACUGGCCACUUCACCCUCUCUCUCUUAUCCACACACUCUCCCUCACUCUCUUUUGGUCACUAUUUUUGAAUUGCCCUUUAUUCUCGUCUCUGUUUAUACUGCCACACAUAAUCGAUGACGACCUAGUACACCAUGGCAUGGAGGCCAUUAAGUUGGCAACCUGCCAUCUGAGAGCAAAUAUGUUCCUGUUUUGUGCUUGUAACAGUUCUGAGAGCACAAAAUAUCUUACACCUUUAGACCAUGUUAUUUUUCAACAUUAGUAAUGUUAUUAUGCUUGAUGAUGACUAGACGGAACACAAAGAAUUUGCCAGCUCCAGAUCUGAGGGUGAACAUCAUGCCAGCCCUAGCACGUUCUUAAACUUAAAUCAAGAGCAUUCCGAAGGCGGAGAGGUGAUUUCGACGUAUAUUUCACGCAAUAGUGCAUUAGCAAAUUCCGACUCUAAUGGACCAUUCGAACUAAUCAAAUUUGCAAUUUCCAAGGAGGUUGACACUUCCACUGGCAGUUCAGGCCAGAAUUCAACUGUCUCAUCUAGCCUAGGGGUCCUAGCUUGAUGCCGGAUGGUCACUACGUUGUGACAGUGCUCAUGAAACUGGGUGGCCACACGUACCAUCGACGGUGAUGACCCCCUAUGGUAGGGCGUGUGGAUGUAUCGUCAAGGAUUUCAUUCCCAUCAAGUACAGACAUUGGAAUGAAAUGAUGUAACACAACUCGACUGGAUGGUACCUGAAGGAAGAAUGCUGGCGAAAGUUGAAGUUGUCAUUCACCUUUCCAGAAGGCCAAGAAGAGCUAGCAAAGAAGGGAGCCCUAUCAAAGAUGGGCACAUUAUUUAGAGAGUGGUGGACUGACUUGAACGUGGACUUCGUCCAAUGCAACCGAACCCCGGAUUUUGAGAAACCCAUGUAUCAAAAGUUGGCAGAUUAUUGGGAUGAGUUUGUGAGCUAGAAAACAUCUGAGGAGGCAAGAGAAGUGAGCGCCCUAAACAAGGACAACUUCAUGUUGAACACGUAUCCACACCGACUUGGCCCGAGCGGAUAUGCUAAGAAUAUCCCCAAAUGGGAAGAGAAGGUGGAACAACUACAUCAAGCAGGUAUAGUUCUCGAGACAGAUGCAUGGGGGACCCGGACAAAGCACUACAUGUACGCCAGGAAGGCUCAACUAUCGGAUCAGGAGAGUUGGUUGCUCUGGGACCUCAUCAGCAAGAGCUAAAAGAAAAGAUCACUGAGGCCAUUUCCCUGGCAAGACAGGGUAAAUUUGUGCCAGUAAGAGAGAAAGAUGAGAUCACAGUGGCACUGGGGACGAAAGAGCACCCUGGACGCAUGAGAGGCGUUGGUUCCGUUCCAUGGAAGGAAGGGUUCCCGGAUGAUACACACAUGUAUCGGGCCCGUUCAAGAAGACCCACGAGAGAAGAGGAGGCCGGACGUAUGAGAUUAGAGGUGGCCUAUCAGGUAAAGGCACAACAUGCAGUGUUGUUUCCCGAUGGGGUACUAGGACGACAGGGGCAAGUUGGUGACCAACUGGUUAGCCCGGGUGGGAAACGGAGCAGUUGCGCAUCCGCGGAUAAUCCCCCUCCAGAACAGCACACCACGCAUUACGUUGUUUUUUUAGGGGAACACAUGUUACGUUGUGGACGACAUAACAACACAUACUCCGUGCGUGCUCCAUGUCCCUCUUCAGAGCAACAUUACUCAGGAGAUUGCACGCAAUGUGGCACAUCCAAUAUGUGCAGGGCAAACAAUACACGGUGUUCCAUUGCCUGCAGACCACUCAAGGGUUGAAGUGGAAGACGUGCCAAGCCAGUAUAGAUGUUAUGUGCUACAAUUUCCUCUAGAGGAAGGGGUUGACACUCUGAGCGCUGCUCUUCACAACCUGAUCGUAUGGCCCAAACGCUACAUCGUUAUCACAAACGAUGGGGCAGGGGAUCCAAGCGCCGAUGAUUCCAGCCUUUCAAACGGACGAGGUCAUUCUUCGCCUCGACAGAGGUCCCCUAGUCUACCUCCUCGUCAGAAGACCCCAAAUCAACCACAACCUUCGCAGAAGUCUCCGAGUACAGGCCCAAUUAGGAAAAAGACCCCAACACCAAGUGCGUCGCAAAUGUCUGGUUCAUCAAGCAUGGAGCGACUCCCACAUUCCAAGUCGAAAUUAGUGCCAAAUCCGACAACUUCGCUACCGAAAAAGGUGAGCGGUAGCAUCACUUCGCUUCUUGGCCCCAAGAAGCCUGAGGAACGAAAGAUUCCAAUUCCUAAGAAAGUGAUCGAGCAUUUCAUCAAAUGCGCACAGCCAAGGCUACCUCCAAAACCUAUAUCGGACUUCCGUAGAACACUUGAGAAAAGUGAAAUGCAGUCUCGAUCUAGGGAGUUGUUCCUUGACAAGAAAGCGUCUGAUGAGGCUGCUUUCUGUAAGUCAGUCGAUUUGAAAAGCCUAGACGAUAUUGAUAACCUUGACAAGGCUGAGGUGGUACUCAGUUCCAACAUGGAUGACCCAUGGUGCUCGACUCAGAAAUUGAAUGGUUAGGAACUCAAGCGCAUUGGCUGCAUCAAUGGUAUUUGGAGGAGGCCGCAAAGGGUCAUGAAAUGAUCGGUGCCUACUACACCGACAUUGAUUUUCACCAUGACCCCAAUAUAUGUUAUGUAUAAUUUAAGGAGCUCUUCAACUUGUACCAUAAAAAGGAACUCGAUAUCAGCCUCCUCCAAAUGUGGUCAUUGCGCUGCUCUUAUCAAUGUAGAAGUCUUGACCGUAAGAUUGCAUUUCUAGAUCCAGCGGUUGUGAACUUCAACAAUCAGUUGUCCAAAGAAAAAGAAAUUGACGACUAUCUCUUCAAUGCCCUCGUUAAGCAAAAUGGUUAUGACCAUAUUCUCCUGCCUUACCUAUCUCACCAUCAUUGGAUCCUCUUCGUAAUCAAUAUCGACGACAGUAAGAUUUGUGUAUAUGAUAGCUUGAGGAAAGGGACAGACAAUUACCAAACUAUUAUGAAUGCACUAAAUAGGGCAUAUGUGAAGUACCGUAGGUCCAAAAGAACGUAUGGGAGAUGUGCGAUCGAUGCAACAUCAUUCCGGAUCUUUGAAAAUCAAUAUAUUUAUAGACAACCAGCGCUUACCAACCUCUGCGGGAUGUACGUCAUGUGGUACAUGCUAUGUUUUGUAGAGUCUGGGCACCUUCUUCCCCGUAAUGCUGAGAAGUUGGGUCUUGAAACAAGCGAAAUGCUGCCACACGUCUUCACAGCUCUCACCGACUAGUUUUGCGGGCCUGUCCAUACUCAUGUCAUAGAUCCAAAUGGCACUUACAAUGUCAACAAGCUCCCACAACAAAGUGCAAUCCUCUGCUCCUACCCCUCAGGACCAAAAAGUGAAGAAAUCAACUACUAAGAAGAGAAAAACCAGGUAGGUAGAUUUGUGUGAAAAAUUGUAGUUACUUAGUGCUUAUGCAUGAAUUAUGGAUGUGACACGUCCUAGUACAAUGAAUCUGGACAGACCGUGUGUCCAGAUUCAUUAUACUAGGAUUUGUUACAUCCACCCAAAAUCCCUUAUGUUAUGGGACAGAGGGAGUAUGUACAAAUGUUUUGGAUUUGGACUUACAAUAUAUAUGUAAAUGUUUAGAGCAUCUGAGAUGUUGUAGAGCUCUAGCGAUUUAGUCAAGUUUCCUGGGAUGUGUAACACAUCUGGUCGCCACCUUCGUGUGGUUUGAUGAGCACAUCUCAGGCUGAAGUUGACUGGCACGCUGAGUCCCAACAAUAUCUCAUUUGCUCUUUACUCGAGGAUAUGAAUGUGAAUUAUAUGCAAAUGUCUAGAAUUUACACUUAUAA